rnacentral:lncRNA from 10 species
GAGGGCCCAGGCUACUCCUGGGCCUCAGGGUCAUCUUCCCAGCCAAGCAGCACCUCUGCAGGAAGGAAGAGCCAUCCUUCCAACCACCCAGGCCAGGACAAAACGCUCCGGGUGGGUCCUCUCACUGCCACCCUCCCGUUAGAAACUUGCUUCAUGACUUUGCUGCAUCUUCCCUCGUCUGCAAAACAGAAAUGGUCACCCACAUCCUGCCUGCACCAAUGGAUCAGAGAGGCCCGGGGGUUUCUGGAAACGGCUCUGAGCUCUGACUCUCCUGUCUGACCUCAGCCUGGUGUCUUGCCCACUCUGGGGAAAAGGGCACAGGGUUUGGAGGCUCUCUGGGCCUCAACAGCCCCAUGUUUGAAAUGAGGAUGGUGCCCAGAUAUUGUGCCCAGAGUUGGUGUAAAGGCUGAAAGACAUGAGUGAAGCCAGCUAGCAGAGGGAGGCACACUAGAAAUCUGAGAGAAGGUUUGAAUGUGUUGGCUCUGCCCUUUCCAAACCAUCUCCGGGGUCUUUUUGGGAAACUAUUCCAGACAGAGUCUAAGGAUGGGUCGAAUCCCAGUGCCUCCUCUUAACUUGCUGUGCAGCCCGAGGCAAGUAUCUUACCCUUUCUGAGCUUCUUUGAUCCCUUCUGUAAAAUGACUAGAACAGAUGUUCCCUGGGGAUCUUCUACAAAGUCAGUUUGUGUUUCCAGGUGGGUGAGAGAGGCAAAACCUUGGUCUGCCUUUGCAGCCCUUCUCUUCCUAGGCUUGGGGCAGGCAGAGGUCUUCCCCGAGACUGCAAACAGGUGUUUUCAUUUUUUUAAGGGGGAAAUUUCCUAUUAAGGAA